rnacentral:tRNA from 1 species
GGCCAGUUAGCUCAGUGGUUUGAGCGCGGUGCUGUCAACAACGAUACCACAGAGGUCGUGGGUUCGAUUCCUGCUCAGUCCC